GGGUUGUGAGGUUAAGCGACUAAGCGUACACGGUGGAUGCCCUGGCAGUCAGAGGCGAUGAAGGGCGUGCUAAUCUGCGAUAAGCGCCGGUAAGGUGAUAUGAACCGUUAUAACCGGCGAUACCCGAAUGGGGAAACCCAGUGUGAUUCGUCACACUAUCAUUAACUGAAUCCAUAGGUUAAUGAGGCGAACCGGGGGAACUGAAACAUCUAAGUACCCCGAGGAAAAGAAAUCAACCGAGAUUCCCCCAGUAGCGGCGAGCGAACGGGGAGGAGCCCAGAGCCUGAAUCAGCAUGUGUGUUAGUGGAAGCGUCUGGAAAGGCGCGCGAUACAGGGUGACAGCCCCGUACACAAAAGCGCAUGUGCUGUGAGCUCGAUGAGUAGGGCGGGACACGUGGUAUCCUGUCUGAAUAUGGGGGGACCAUCCUCCAAGGCUAAAUACUCCUGACUGACCGAUAGUGAACCAGUACCGUGAGGGAAAGGCGAAAAGAACCCCGGCGAGGGGAGUGAAAAAGAACCUGAAACCGUGUACGUACAAGCAGUGGGAGCACCCUUCGGGGUGUGACUGCGUACCUUUUGUAUAAUGGGUCAGCGACUUAUAUUCUGUAGCAAGGUUAACCG
rnacentral:rRNA from 3 species